CUGAUUUCCUCAUCUAUAAAAUGGGGUUGAAAAGAGUGGUGCCUUUUUCAUGGGGCUCUUAGGAAGAUUGGAUUAAAUGAAUGAGGUACAAAAAAAGCUGCUGGAUAAGCUCCUAGAGAAACAAAAGAAACAUCUGCCUCCAAACUGAGAGGGAUCUGACAGUCCAAAGAACAACUCAGACAAGUCCAGCUUGGCAAAAUCUCCAAACCUCAGACCCUAUCAGCUUGUCCAGCCCAGAUGUCCACCUCUCCCCACUUUCUCACCAUAGGAGCCCUCCGCAGUUCUCUGAAGGGAUCAAACUCGGGACCUUGUGCUUGCAAGGCAGGAGGCGGUGGAACCACUGAGCUAAAUCCUCGGCCCUUGUCUCCACAUUCUUACCAGUAUAUGUUAUCUUUUACCUUUUUAAUAAUAACUAUUAUAACAGAUGUGAAGUAAUAUCUUAUUGUGAUUUUAAUUUGUAUUUCCCUAAUGACUAGCAAUGCACUUUUCAUAUUCCUCUGUUGGCCUACUGGAUGUCUUAUUUUGACAAAUGUCUAUUCAAGCCCUUUGCCCAUUUUUAUAAUCAUAUUGUUUUCCUGUUAUUGACUUGUUUGAUUUCCUUAUAUAUUUUGGAUAUUAACACUUAGUCAAACAUAUGUUUUACAAAUAUUUUUCCCAGUCUAUAGGUUGUUUCUUCUCCUUUGUUCACUGCAGCAACAUUCACAAUAGUCAAUAAAUGAAAAACCCUAAGUGUCAUCAACAAAUGCUUGAUAAAAUGUGGUAUAAAAACAUAAUGGAAUUCUAUACAGCCUUAUGAAAGAAGGAAAACUUGUCAAUUGUGACAAUAUGAAUGAACCUAGAGGACAUUGUGUUAAUUGAAAUAAACCAGGCACUGAAAAAUAAAUCCUUCAUGAUCUCACAUAUGUAGACUCUAAAAAAGUUGAACAGAUAGUAGUAUGGUAAUUAUUAGGAACUGAGGUUGGGAAAAAAUGAAGAAAUGUUCAAAGGGUUCAAAGUUUACAAUAUACAGGAUGCAUAAACUCUAGAGAUCCAUAAUAUACACUAUAUCAACUAUAAUUAACAAGACAGUUUUGUAUAUUCAAAUUUACUAAAAGAGUAGAUCUAAUUGUUCUCAGCACCCCUCCAACAAACAUAACUAACUAUAUGAAGUGAUUGAUAUGUUAAUUAGCUUCAUUGUGGUAAAUAUUUCUACACACAUGUACAUACACACACAUACAUAUAUAUAUAGUACUUCUUAAAUAUAUACGAUUUUUAUUUUCAGUUGUACAAUUAUACCUUGAUAAAGCUGAAAAAUACAAGAUUGAAGAGCUAUGUAAAACAUAUAGUCAAUGCUCUUGUAAUAGUUCUCUAGUAAUCAAACCACCACAUUAACCAACAGCCACUGUUUCCUGUACUGAACAAGGGGUUUAUGCCUGGGGAACAAUCCAGGCACAUGACUACUGGGCCACUUGGAGAAGCCCUUAUGCUUCUGUAACAACCAGUUGUAUUUUGUGCCUACAAGAGUAUGUUGAAUUUGUUUCAUAGCCUGUUGUUAACAGUUUUAUAUGUAAUUGAAAUUAUAUAACUAAAUUGUAUAAAAAUAGUAAUCCUCUAAGAAUUAGGUUGAAUAGUUUGGAAAGAUUCCAAAGUUGAGCUUAAUUAGGUGGGGAUGAGUUGUAAAAGGCUGGGAAACUGAUUAUAAAAGUCUAGAAGGGUUCUGUGUACAGAUUACUUAACAAAGGUCCAAGCUUUCCCUCCAUCUCAAGAAAGAAAAUAGGCAAUGUUGGCAAUGUGUAUAAAAUGCCUAUCUAAAGCCUUGACCCUAUAUCAAAGUAUUGGGAAAGGAUAUACAUUCACAAGUAUUUAGACUGAAAUAAAAUUUGUGGGCUAUGUAUGUAUAUAUUUUUACAUUGCUAUCUUAACCAAUCUUAACAUUAAAACAACUACCAGUCCUAUCAUAUCAGAUAAGAAGCCUCUCAUCAUAUACUCAUCCCUUCUUUACAUCCACAACUCAAUAAUGAAAUUGCUCAGACCUCAGGAAGCCAGAAACAUCAGGAGUUGUAACCUGACUUGUGACAGAAAAUGUAACAAACAAUCCAGUGCUAAGGAUUCUCUUCCUUUCUGUUUGUUUUCAUGAGAUAGAUAGAUAGAUAGAUAGAUAGAUAGAUAGAUAGAUAGACAAUCUUCCAUGUACUUGCAAAAUUUUCUGAGUCCAUAUAGAAUAUUUAUAGGAAUAUACACACAAUUAAAAUCACUAGCAACAAAUAGGAAUCAUAAAUUACCUGCCAACCUGGGCGAUUCACCUUAAGCAGGUCACCACACAUAUUCAACACAACCAAGCUCUCAAAUAGUCACUUAAGCAAAUGGAAUGCAUAGGAUCUGGAGCUACAGUUCUGAGGUGAUACACAGAGGAGAUUAGACAUGGUCCCUUUCCCUGAACACCUUACAGUUCAAUAAUCAAAUUGGGGGCAUCAAGCUGCAUUUAGUUCUUUGUAAUGACAGCAGGAUUAAAGUGGAGGGAAAGGAAGAAAGGAGUCAAUUUUGUACUUCCCUCCUUCAGUAACUCCAUGUUUGCUGUCAAAUAUUGGAAACUAGAGUGCAUGAGGGUAGAAAUAUUUUGUGGAAUAUGACCAUUCCAACCAUUCACUCACCAACAAUGUGGUAACCUAUAAAUGCCUAAUACUCCAAAUGUAUGACAUCUAAUACAUCAUCUUUCUCCCUCAACUUCCUCCUCCUCUUCCUUUUCACUUAAAACUCUAAAGCAUACUCUUCCAUACCUCUGUAACAUUUUACAUUCUAUCUUCAAUGCUAGUAAUAUUUUUCUACAUAUUAACUAUUGGGAAAAGUUUAUCCUUAAAUUAUUAAUUCACAUAUCAAUUUCUCUUCGACAACCUAAGAGCAAUGUGGUGAUCUGGAAAACUAACAGUUCCAACUUGAGUCCUGCUUCUGGUAUUUAUUAUAUAGUCAUAUGCCCAUGACAUCACUGUGCUUAUGUUUCCUUGACUGUAAUGUCUACCUCUAACUGUCUUAAGCUUCAACUGAGAUAUAUGUGAAGAGCCUAGUGCAGGAAAUGGCACCUACAAGGUCCUCCAUGAACAUUCAUUGCCUUCCCUUCCUUCCCUUCUCUGAGGUACCAGAACACAUGUUCCUGAUUACUGCAGCCCUGGUUAUAUGAUGCUCUCAUUCUAAUCCUCCAGACCCUUAGGUAGUUAAUGAAAAAGCAUAGACCCUGGCAUCACUAAUGUGUACUCGUAGAUAUUUAAUUAAUUUAAAAAUAGUUCUGCAGAGGGGGUGAAGGG